ACAAUUUCAGUUUAAUUUGUUGUGGCUUGUUAGUUUAUCAUGCUAAUAGCUUAACUUAAUUUAUCAUGCUAUGAGUUUUAACUGCCUUUUAUAUCAUGUAGAUUCUUGCGCAAAUUGAAAUGUUAUGUUCGUAAUAGAUGUCGACCUGAAGGAUCUAUUGCAGAAGGGUAUAUUGUUGACGAAAGUUUAAUAUUUUGUUCAAGGUAUUUACAUGGAAGUGGGAAAAGGUAUAAUCCAGUGGACAAAAAUUAUGAAGGUGAUCAUGCUGAGUCAUGCAAUGGAUUAUCAAUAUUUAAGCAAAAGGGUUGCCCUUUAUUAAGCGAUACAUCUAGAAUUCUUGAAGAGGUUGAGCGAAAACAAGCGCAUCUUUAUGUUUUGAGAAAUUGUGAAGAAGUUCAACCAUUUCUACGUGAGUACGAGCAGAACAAUAGGAACAUGAACUUUGAUGAUUGGUUUUUCCAUCGAAUCGUGCAAAUGCGCAAGAAAAACAAUUCUCAUGCAAGUCGCGGGUUGUAUUCUUUGGCUAGAGGUCCUUUUGAUGGAGUCCAAAGAUUCAAAGGGUUCUUCUAUUUAAGCUCUGCGUACAACUCCUGAAGCCUCUCAUUUGUCUACUUCAUAUCAGUAAAGCUUCCUUAGAAGCUCUGCAAGAUUCACCCAGUGGUUCACCAGUCCAUGGAGUGUCUGAUAUGGUUAUAGGUGUUUUGGGAGGAGGGAAGCUGGGUCGUAUGUUGUGUCAAGCAGCAUCCCAAAUGGCACUCAAAGUGAUCGUCUUGGAGCCGAUGGAGAAUUGCCCGCAAAUGCAUUAGCACAUGAUCAUGUGGUAGGAAGCUAUGAUGAUAGUGCAACAGUCGAAGAAUUUGAAAAAAGUUAGGUGUGGAGUUUUAACAGUUGAGAUCGAACAUGUUGAUGUUGACACACUUGAGAAGCUUGAACGACAAGGAGUGGAUUGUCAACCGAAAGCCUCUACUAUUCGUAUAAUCCAGGUUGGUCUUUCUAUCCUGUGAAUUUGGAUGAAAAAAAUUCAGUACUUCUUGCUUGCUAUGUUUUUAAGUAUUCAGUUUCUCAUAUCUGGUGUUUUCAAUCUUUGUUUGGUUCAAUCAUGGUAUUAUGUAAUAGGAGAAAUAUCUUCAGAAGGUUCACUUUUCUCGACAUGCAAUUCCACUUCCUAAAAAUUGAGAUUGAUUCUAUUAUGAAAAAUAAUACAUGAAUUUUAACUGAUUUACCUUCUGGUGCAAAACCUAUUGGUUAUAAAUGGAUUUUCAAAAGGAAAUUUAAUCAUGAUGUACUUUUAGAUAAAUAUAAAGUUUGGUUAGUAGCAACAGAAUUUUCUCAAAAAUAAAAUAUAGAUUAUUUUAAUACAUUUGCACCAAUAACUAGAAUUUUUUGUAUUAGAGUUUUAAUUGCCUUAACUUCAUUGUAAGCUUUUUAUAGAUGUCAAAACAGCUUUUUUAAACGUUGAUUUAGAAGAAAAUAUAUAUGUAGUUCAACUUGAAAGGUUGUAUUAUUCUCGGACAAAAAAUAAAGUUUUAAUCAAUUAAAUUUCUUUAUGACCUUAAACAAGCUGCUAAGCAGUGGUAUGAGAAAUUUGAACAAAUCUUACUGAGAGACAGGUUUUCUUCAGUUGAGGUGGAUAAAUGUGUUUAUACUAAACUGGUAGACAAUGAUUAUGUAGAUGUACUCAUAAUCCCAACAAUGAGCAUUGGUCUGCAUUAGCUAGACUAAUAAAAUAUUUGAGAGGAACCAUGAAUUAUGGUAUCCUAUAUAGUGGGAUUUCCUUCUAUUUUAGAAGGGUACAGUGAUGCAGACUAGAUAUCUGAUUCAGAUGAGACAAAAUCCACUAGUGGUUAUGUAUUCACCCUUGGUGGUGGCGCAAUAUCGUGGAAAUCAGCUAAACAGACGAUCAUUGCUAGAUCGACUAUGGAAUCGAAGUUUAUAGCUCUAGAUUUAGCUGGUUUUGAGGCUGAGUGACUGAGAAACUUCUUAGUUAAAAUCACUUUAAUAAAUGAUGUAUUGCCAAUUUGCCACCUGUGUCUAUGCAUUGUGAUUGUCAAGUGGCAAUAGCUAUUGCAAAUAAUAAAUCUUAUAAUUGUAAAAGUAGACACAUGGAAUUGAGACAUGAUGUCAUAAAAUAGCUGUUGAGAGAUGGAAUAAUUUUCAUUGACUAUGUGAAGUCAGAGAUAAAUUUGGCCGACCCUCUGAUUAAACCUAUGGGAAGAAAAUUAAUUCUUCAAACCUCAAAAGAGAUGAGGUUAAGGUUGACACGUAGUCAAUAGAGAUGGUAACCCAACAUAUGUGAUUGGAGAUCCCAUGAAAUAGGUUCAUAUGGGUAACAACAAGUCAAUAUUGACACUAAAGCACUAAAAGAGAGUGUUUGACUGCUAAUAAUUGAGAGGCUAAGUUAUAACUCUUAAUGAAUUCAUAUUCCUUAUGGAUGGUGUAUUUAAAAGCAAUAUACACUUGAUGAAUUCACCUAUAUGAGAGUGGAGUGGGGCAGCUCCUAUGAGAUUUUGGCCUAGUCUCUAGAGCUCUCAUGAAUAACCAGGUAUGCGCAUAACCUAUUGGGCGCAAAACCGCAUUGGACAACAAAAUUGUGAGGGUAAAAAUGUGAUUGAUAAAAUCUCUGACUUACAAUAAGAAUUAUUGGUUCAUAGAAAUGCUAUAUUUCACCAGUAAUACUGUAAGUUAAAUUUUAUUGGUCUAAGUUUGGUUCAUAGUCCAGAAGACACCAAACCUAUUACAUUUAGACCAUGCAAAUCCAGCAAAUUUUACUCUUCUAUCCAUUACUUUUAUUUGUACAAAAAAAUUUAAAAUAGUGGGGACUAUGGUAGUAUUUUCAAUAUUUUUGUGGACAAGUGGCUAUGAAUAUGUACCAUAUGGCCUUUUACAUGAAGAUAUCUGGCCAAAUGGCUAAGCCAUAAACCAGUAGCAAUUAUCUUUUAUGCAAUUAAACACUUGGCAAUUUAAGAAACUCCUAGCAUCUAUAUAAAUAGCCUUCUUGAUUCAUCCGUAAGGACAUAAAAAAAGUGGUCUUUUACUCUUUGCUUUGUUAAUCAUUGCCUUCUUUUUUAGCUAAUCAUUACUAUAAUCCUUAUUCCCACUAUUGACCAAAUCAUGAUCUCUUGUUAUUAUUUCUUUCCUCCGAUUUAUUUCAAAACUUGCCGGUAUUAUUUGAUUUUGCUAAUUCUUGUAUCCUCUAAAUAAAUAGAGAUGUGCUUGUUUAAUCCUGGAGAAAUAUUUUACAUUGCUGAAAUAAUUUCUUAAGACAGUACCUAGCACGACUCAAGCCAAUUCGUGUAUCUGCUUACAAAUAAUAUUAUUGCAGCAUUAUUGUUAUUAUUUUUCGGUGUCAUUUCCCUACAGUAGUAAGGCUUUCUUCCUUAAACACUAACCCGUCCAAGACUCACCAAUAAGGUAAAUCCACCAUGUGCUUUUUGGGUUCAAAUCAAUUGUUUCGAGGCGAAAGGAAGUUACCUUCAUCUGGACUUGAGUUAUUCCUGUUUUACAUGUAAUCAGCAGUUUAUAUUAACUAGCUUCUAGGCACAGGGAUGACAAUUAAUCAAUUAUCAACCUUCAGUUCUGAUACAUGCAAGAUUAAGAUGUUGCACUAAUAGCUUCAUGAUGAACCAUUAUGUCAGGGGCGGAGCUAGCCCUUUGCACGCGGGUUCGACUGUAUCCAGUAGUUUUGGUCCAAACUUUAUAUUUGUUUUAUGAAAUUUAUUGAAUAUGUACAAAUUAUUAA